GAGCUUAAAUUGAAGAGAUAAACUCUCAUGAACAUCAAAUUGAAGAUUAAAACCUCAGGAUUGAAGAUUAAAGCAAGGAUUGAAAUUUGUUGAUAGAGAAAGCUUUAAAAGAGGAUUUGUUGUAAACUUUCUUUCUUUUAUUUACUCUAUCUAAAUACAUAUGUUUAUCCUUGUUUCAUUGAUUAUUAUUCUUGGGUUUGUAUUUAUUAUGAAUAUGAGUUAGUUU
rnacentral:lncRNA from 1 species